AGAACACUGGGGAGACUAGAUCGAUAGGGCUGCACAGAGGUGGCACAGUUGUGCCAGAGGUAGCAGGGACAGGAGGGCUGGCAAGGGAGGGUCCAGGGCUAGGGGAUUCGGAGUGGCUUCAGGCGGACCACGUGGCUACCUUUUUUCCAGGGCCAGACUUUGGCAGCGUGUAAGGUCUGAGGACAGGGGCACCGGAGGCCGAGGAUGAGAGGCCAGUGCCUGUUUCCAGGCAGCCAGGGCCUCAGAAACUCCGGCCGGAGCACUCACCCGUCGGUGGAGGCCGUUACCAGGGCCACCUUAUUUGCGAGCGGGUCCCGGCGGGUCAUCCCGGAGCUGGCCAUCCGCACCGAAUUCCAAGCCCGGGCACAGAGGCCUAGCAGCCCCGCCUUGUGCAUGGAUCAGACCAGCAAAAUUCCUUCUCCAAGAAAGUCUGGGUCUAUGUGUGUGACAGCCCACAGGAGGGCAAAUGUUUUGAGACUGCCCAUGGAGGUGAGGCCUGUGGUCGCCAUGGAGUCCACCAGGUGCCACUUCGGAUAAACCCUUUGGACUCCUAACUCCAAUCAGGUGUCUGCUUUGUUGAGGACUCACAGACACAGUCUCCUUUCUUCAAGAUCUUUACAAUGCAAGACCUCACUAACACACAGGGAUGGUCUCCCAGAGGGUCUGUGCUGUUCCUUCACUCAGAACAUCAAGAUGCACUGAAGUAAGGAUCCUCUAUUCUACAGUUCCUGCUAGCUGAGCUAUUCCAUGGGGGCUUCAGCAGGAAAUUCCAAGGUUGGCUUUGACAAGCUAAGGCCGGCUGGUGGAGCACAUCGAGUUCUGGAGGUUCAUGUGUGUUUUCAUGAAGAUCUGUCUGCCCGUAGCAGAUAAAGAGUUGUUGCCCCACUCCUCCUGGGGUCUUCUAUUUUCCUGGGAGGAAUUUCUGGAUUAACUGAACACACACACACACACACACACCCUUUUGAAGCAUCAACAGUAAUUCUGAGUUCUUAGGGACAAUGCAGAUUAAAUCCACAAUAAGAAAGACAACUAUGGCCAGGUGUGGUGGCUCACGCCUGUAAUCCCAGAACUUUGGGAGGCUGAGGCGGAUGGAUCACCUGAGGUCAGGAGUUAGAGACCAACCUGACCAACAUGGAGAAACCCCGUUUCUACUAAAAAUGCAAAAUUAGCCGGGCAUGGUGGCAGGCGCCUGUAAUCCCAAAUACUCGGGAGGCUGAGGCAGGAGAAUCACUUAAACCCGGGAGGCAGAGGUUGCAGUGAGCCAAGAUCGCGCCAUUGCACUCCAGCCUGGGCAAGAAGAGCAAAACUCCAUCUCAAAAAAAAAAAAAGAGUACUAUUGAUCCAGAGGUGACCAGACUAGCCUCACUGGAGAUAAUAGGUGACAUUAUUAUGCAAAGUGGUUUCAGUUCCCUUGUCUUGUUUUUGGAAUAGUAUAAGAGGCCUACAAUACGAAUAAAUAAGGCCCAUCACAAGCCUCACCAAAGGACAAAACUAAUCCACUUCUGAAGAAGGCUCUUUGUUGGGCCAGAUCAAAUCCUUGGACAGAACUGUACUCUUAAUCUCUGUAGUGAAAGUGGGGGGUAGUUUAAGAAUUUAUUAACCUUCUACCUUGAGCAAUCCCUCAGAAGUAAGAGGUGUCAGGCCUCUGAGCCGAAGCUCAGCCAUUGUAACCCCUGUGACCUGCACAUAUAUGUCCAGAUGGCCUGCAGGAGCCAAGAAGUCUGGGGCAGCUGAAAAACCACACAAGAAGUAAAACAGCCAGUUCCUGCCUUAACUGAUUAACCAACAUUACAACAUUCCACCAUUGUGACCUGUCCCUGUCCUACCUUAACUGAUCAAUCGACCUUGUGACAGUCUUCUUCUGGACAAUGGGUCUUAUCAUCUCCCCACCAUGUACCUUGUGACCCCCUCCUCUGCUAACAAUAGAUAACCACUUUUUACUGUAAUUUUCCAUUACCUACCCAACUCCUAUAAAGCAACCCCUUCCCCAUCUCCCUUCACUGACUCUGUUUUCAGACUCAGCCCACUUGCACUCAAGUGAAUAAACAGCCUUGUUGCUCACACAAAGCCUGUUGGUGGUCUCUUCACACAGAUGUGCUUGACAAAAGGGAAGGGUGGAUUUGUCCUUCUGGUUACAUAUGUUCUGCUCACUCAUUUUGAAUUUAAUUAAACAAGGAUUGCCCUUACCUUUUCAUACUUUGUAAGAAACCAUAAAUACUUAUGCACCAUGAUUUUUUUAAAGAAACACUUUUUAUUUUGAAGUAAUUAUAGUCUCAUAGGAAGUUGCAAAAGUAGUACAUAGAGUCCCUGAGUACUCUUCCCCCAGUGGUGACAACUGUAGUAUAAUAUCAAUUCUGGGAAAUUGACAUUGGUACAAUACCAAAUAUACUAUGCCUUUUUCUCUAAGGCAUGAUGUUGCAGUAGCAUCCUUGUACAUGUAGCUAGGAGAACUUGUACUAAGCCCAGAUAAAUAGUUGAAGUACAAGGGCAAGGAGUGUGUCUUUGAUAUUUUAAUAGAAAUCACCUAUUGCCCUCUAGAAAAGCUGUACCCUUUUCCAGUGGCAGAGAACCUUCCUGAAAGGCAGUCCUGUGUAAUGGUGUCCAUUUCAUCACACCCUUAAAACACUCAGCUUUAACAAACAUGCAGAUUUUUGCUGAUGUGGGAGAAAAUAUUAAUUAUUAAUGAUAUUAAGGUGAUUAUCUUUUCGUAUGUUUAUAGAUAUUUGUAUUUCUUUUUAAAUGAACUGCUCAUGACCUUUGUCUACUUUUAUUUGGGUUUACUUCUUUCUCAUUUAUUCCUAUAAACUCUUUAUAAAAGGAAAUUAACCAUUUGAUUGUCAUAUGUUGUGAAUAUUUUUACCAUUUUGACUUUUGAAUUUAUGUCUUUUUAAUGAAUUGUAGAA
ensembl:lncRNA DHRS4-AS1 DHRS4 antisense RNA 1